GUUCAAGGUGCUUUCCUCGAAUGAACGAAAGAACGAAAAACGUCAUCGCCGUAGACCACCGUGGAGUGGAGCCUUGACAGGGAGCUCUGGGGCAGAGGAAGGAAGGGAGGAAGGAAGGGAGGAAGAACGCUCCAUCACAGACCGGUCUUCUCUGGCUGCCUCACCCUGUUGAGACCCUUGUCACCAUCUGAUCCUUCUAAGCUCCGCAGACUGGUCUUCGCUGGCUGUCUGACCCUGCUGGGACCCAUGUCACAAUCUGAUCCUUCUAAGACAUGAUGAGCAUAGUGUUGUGUACUGAUUGUGCACUAGAGGGCUGCAUUCCCGCGGGAUUCCUGUGGGACCUGAAGGUUCCGACAGAGAUCAUUGCAGAGAUCAUUGCAGCGGGUUCUGGAGGAAGACAGACGACUUUGGGAUGAAAAUGUUGUAUUUUUGUUGUCCCACAGAUGAUUUGGAAACGGUCCUCUUUCUGCUUUGUAUGCGUUAGCCUACCUACUGUAUUAAAAGCACAUAUUGUUUCGCAUUA